GAUGAACGCUGGCGGCGUGCUUAACACAUGCAAGUCGAACGGUGAAGCCAAGCUUGCUUGGUGGAUCAGUGGCGAAAGGGUGAGUAACACGUGAGCAACCUGCCCUGGACUCUGGGAUAAGCGCUGGAAACGGCGUCUAAUACUGGAUAUGAGCUCUCAUCGCAUGGUGGGGGUUGGAAAGAUUUUUCGGUCUGGGAUGGGCUCGCGGCCUAUCAGCUUGUUGGUGAGGUAAUGGCUCACCAAGGCGUAGACGGGUAGCCGGCCUGAGAGGGUGACCGGCCACACUGGGACUGAGACACGGCCCAGACUCCUACGGGAGGCAGCAGUGGGGAAUAUUGCACAAUGGGCGGAAGCCUGAUGCAGCAACGCCGCGUGAGGGAUGACGGCCUUCGGGUUGUAAACCUCUUUUAGCAGGGAAGAAGCGAGAGUGACGGUACCUGCAGAAAAAGCGCCGGCUAACUACGUGCCAGCAGCCGCGGUAAAAC
rnacentral:rRNA from 1 species